GUGCUCAAUUCAGCAGCACAUAUACUAAAAUUGGAACACUAACAUGAUGAUUAGCAUGGGCCCUGGGCAAAGAUGACACACAAAUUCAUGAAGCCUUUCAUAUUUUU